GGACCGGGUGCCUUUGAAAAACUAAUAUGAGUCGCUGGCUUCGGGGAUUCAACUACUUAUCUCGAGGUGUAGAGCGCCUGCCGCCUGCGCGUGAUUAUAUUCUGUCGUACCUCCCCCUGGGGUACCCUUUGUGGAAAGUAAAGUCGUAACAAGGUCUCCGUAGGUGAACCUGCGGAGGGAUCAUUACAAGUGACCCCGGUUUUACCACCGGGAUGUUCAUAACCCUUUGUUGUCUGACUCUGUUGCCUCCGGGGCGACCCUGCCUUCGGGGCGGGGGCUCCGGGGUGGACACUUCAAACUCUUGCGUAACUUUGCAGUCUGAGUAAAUUAAUUAAUAAAUUAAAACUUUUAACAACGGAUCUCUUGGUUCGGGCAUCGAUGAAGAACGCAGCGAAAUGCGAUAAAGUAAUGUGAAUUGCAGAAUUCAGUGAAUCCAUCGAAUCUUUUGAACGCACAUUGCCGCCCCCCUGGUAUUCCGGGGGGCAUGCCUGUUCGAGCGGUCAUUUCACCACUCAAGCCUCGCUUGGUAUUGGGCAACGCGGUCCGCCGCGUGCCUCAAAUCGACCGGCUGGGUCUUCUGUCCCCUAAGCGUUGUGGAAACUAUUCGCUAAAGGGUGUUCGGGAGGCUACGCCGUAAAACAACCCCAUUCUAAGGUGACCUCGAUCACUGAGUUCCCCG
rnacentral:rRNA from 1 species